GCUUUUCCUGAUACCCGAUUUGGUUAACGUAUUGUUAACCAAAAGCCAGACUGCGCGGAAUAUUGUUGGCAAGUGUAAUUUUCGGCUGCUGUCAAGUCAAGUAGGCCUACUCAUCAAGUGUCAUGUUGUUUGAAAUUGUGUUCAGUUGCAUUACAGUUUCAAUUGUUCACAAGAAGUAUUUGAUAAAGUCUUACAUUGGAAGUAACCGAAGGUGGAUUUUGGGAUAUUGGCAAUUGAAUGGCCAGACAAUUGAGUCUGGUGAACAUGUUGGCAAUCGAAAGUCUGCUUUCAAGCAAACGUGCAUGAGGUGUACAUUUAUAGCUGUUCAAACAACAUGUCUACUAUGACUGUCAUGACUCCCAAACUUGUCGUGUUCACCAUUGAUGUUAGAGAGCCUAUUGCUGAACUCUACUCAGAUGCAGCGAAUGGAAAUAACAACAAAUUCCAGGGCUUCGAACCACGACUGCUAAAGUCAGGUGUAUUAUCUCAAGAACUAUUCCGUCAGAAAGCUAGGUCUUCAAGUCGGAAGAGCUAAUUGUUUGAUUUAAGAGAAAAUCCAUUUAAAAAAUAAUUGUGACUCUUUCUUGUAUGAGUAAAAGUAGUUUAAAUAAACACGAAAUUUGACCAGCAUCA